AUUGAACGCUGGCGGCAGGCUUUACACAUGCAAGUCGAACGAGUGGCGGACGGGUGAGUAAUGUAUGGGAAAGUGCCAGGUGGAGGGGGAUAACUACUGGAAACAGUGGCUAAUACCGCAUAACAUAGGAGUGGCCGAGAUGGGAUUAGCUAGUUGGGGGGGUAUCGGCUCACCAAGGCCACGAUCCCUAGCUGGUCUGAGAGGAUGACCAGCCACACUGGAACUGAGACACGGUCCAGACUCCUACGGGAGGCAGCAGUGGGGAAUAUUGCACAAUGGGCGCAAGCCUGAUGCAGCCAUCCCGCGUGUAUGAUGAAUGCCUUCGGGUUGUAAAGUACUUUCAGCGGAGAGGCGUUACCCGCAGAAUAAGCACCGGCUAACUCCGUGCCAGCAGCCGCGGUAAUUC
rnacentral:rRNA from 1 species